GAGUUUGAUCCUGGCUCAGGAUGAACGCUGGCGGCGUGCUUAACACAUGCAAGUCGAGCGAAGCACUUGGUUUGAAGUUUUCGGAUGGAAAAUCAUUUGACUGAGCGGCGGACGGGUGAGUAACGCGUGGGGAACCUGCCUCAUACAGGGGAAUAACAGCUAGAAAUGGCUGCUAAUGCCGCAUAAGCGCACAGUGCCGCAUGGCACGGUGUGAAAAACUCCGGUGGUAUGAGAUGGCCCCGCGUCUGAUUAGGCAGUUGGCGGGGUAACGGCCCACCAAACCGACGAUCAGUAGCCGACCUGAGAGGGUGACCGGCCACAUUGGGACUGAGACACGGCCCAAACUCCUACGGGAGGCAGCAGUGGGGGAUAUUGCACAAUGGGGGAAACCCUGAUGCAGCGACGCCGCGUGGGUGACGAAGUAUUUCGGUAUGUAAAGCCCUAUCAGCANGGAAGAAGAUGACAGUACCUGACUAAGAAGCCCCGGCUAACUACGUGCCAGCAGCCGCGGUAAUACGUAGGGGGCAAGCGUUAUCCGGGUUUACUGGGUGUAAAGGGAGCGCAGGUGGCAUGGCAAGCCAGAAGUGAAAACCCGGGGCUUAACCCC
rnacentral:rRNA from 1 species